rnacentral:rRNA from 1 species
GACGAACGCUGGCGGCGUGCUUAACACAUGCAAGUCGAACGGAAAGGCCCUGCUUUUGUUGGUUGCUCGAGUGGCGGACGGGUGACUAACACGUGAGUAACCUUCCCUUUACUGUUGGAUAACUUCAGGAAACUGGGGCUAAUACUGGAUAUGAUCUCCUGCUGCAUGGUGUUGGUUGGAAUGUUUCGGCGGUUGGGGAUGGACUCGCGGCUUAUCAGCUUGUUGGUGGGGUAGUGGCUUACCAAGGCUUUGAUGGGUAGCCGGCCUGGGAGGGUGACCGGCCAAAUUGGGCCUGAGAUACGGCCCAGACCCCUCCGGGAGGCAGCAGUGGGGAAUAUUGCAAAAUGGGCGGAAGCCUGAUGCAGCACCGCCGCGUGCGGGAUGACGGCCUUCGGGUUGUAAACCGCUUUAGCCUGUGCCGAAGCGUGAGUGACGGUAAUGGGUAAAGAAGCACCGGCUAACUACGUG